rnacentral:tRNA from 1 species
AAAAAUUUAGUUAAAAAAUAACAUUAGUUUGUCAAACUAAAAUUAUCUAAUAAAUAAUUUUUA